AUGUUAAUGAACAACUUUCUGGUUGGUCAAAUCCCAUACCAAAUCAGAGGGCUACCCAACUUGGAAAACUUGCUUCUUUGGAAUAAUUCAUGGACAAACGUCCUUCCCCAAAGCUUAGGGUUCAAUGAGAAGCUUGUGAGGGUUGAUGUCUCCUCCAAUCUUCUUGACAGUCCAAUCCCUCCAAACCUCUGCAAAUACUACAAGUUUGUUGACAUCAGCAGCAACAACUUCACUAGCACCAUCACAUAA
rnacentral:lncRNA from 1 species